UGUGUCUGCUGAUGGGAGCGCUCCUAUCUCUUAGAUACACCACUGACUGAGUCUGUACCGGGGGUUGGGGGAGUCAGGCCUUCCCUAAUUAAAGCCAAUGAUUGACCUUGUUGCAGGAGGGAGAUGGGACAGUUAUUACUGUGCACUGAGGUCAACACUGUAACACAGUUUGGGGAUAAACUCCGCAGCUCUGAUAGUUACAAUGCCCGCUGAAGGAAACAAAGGCAGGGUUAUAUUUAGCAGCAGAUAACCUGCAUGAACCUUGCCUUUUUAAGGGGAUCAUUUUUAGUACAGUGAAGCGUAGUGGGGACUGUAACCCAGUUCAGAGGCACUUUAACUCCUUAGUAGCCUGUGGCCUCUGUAUGUAGCUGCUUAAUAUCAUUACUUGCUCUAUGGGAAUUUUUUUUAUCACUGCUUGGGUUUAUUUUUUCUGCUUUGACUGAUGGUUCUUUUUUUCCUUCUCGUUUCUUGUCUUUGUUUUGUCUUACAGUAAACUUAAUAGAGAGGGUGCGUGUAGAGGAAAGCGUGCAGAUGUUACAACAAAAUACAACUCUGAAUUUGACACAUUUAUAUUUAAAGAAAUGCACACAGGACGCAGAAAUUAGCAACUGAUAUGGCAUUGGACACAUCUCCAGCAGCUGCAGAUUUUAUUCGCCGACCCCCCAACUUUCCACAUACACCAUUUGUUUUUGUGUGCUGGCAGGACUGCAAACGUCAACAUGUUCCUUGAUUCAAGUAGUGACAUCAGUUUGAUUGGGCUGCCGGAUUGUCUGCAGUAUGAAAGAGGAGUCAGUGGGCUUAGCUAGAAGAUUUACUGAUCGGCCUCGGAGCAUUGAUGGAGUAAAGUGCAACUGGAAUCAUGUGAGAGGGCAUCGCCUUCAUCUCAAGCAGCACAUAUUGAUUAUUCAGGCAGAACCACAGAAAUCCACGCUAUUUGACGCGCGUGAAUAACAAUAGCCUGCUUCAAAAUACAAUUCUUGGUUUUAAAAGGCCCCAGCUCACCCUGGGGUAAAACAAAAAAAUAUUUGACAUUUUACUUUCGAUGGACAAAUAAUAAUCAUUUUCCUUUUUAUAUUUGAGGUCACCUAUUAAUCAACAAUUCUUCCAUUAUAUAAUAUUUUUUCGCUGCAACAGGAAUAAACUGAACCU